rnacentral:rRNA from 1 species
UCGGGAAUUUUGCGCAAUGGACGAAAGUCUGACGCAGCAACGCCGCGUGAGGGAUGAAGGCCUUCGGGUUGUAAACCUCUUUUCUCAGGGACGAUAAUGACGGUACCUGAGGAAUAAGCCACGGCUAACUACGUGCCAGCAGCCGCGGUAAUACGUAGGUGGCGAGCGUUGUCCGGAUUUACUGGGCGUAAAGAGCGCGCAGGCGGUCGGCCAAGUCGAAUGUGAAAGCCCCCGGCUCAACUGGGGAGGGUCACUCGAUACUGGUCGACUCGAAGGCGGGAGAGGGAAGCGGAAUUCCCGGUGUAGUGGUGAAAUGCGUAGAUAUCGGGAGGAACACCAGUGGCGAAGGCGGCUUCCUGGCCCGUUCUUGACGCUGAGGCGCGAAAGCUAGGGGAGCGAAACGGGAUUAGAUACCCCCGGUAGUCCUAGCCGUAAACGAUGGACACUAGGUGUUGGUGGUAUCAACCCCACCAGUGCCGAAGCUAAACGCAUUAAGUGUCCCGCCUGGGGA